rnacentral:rRNA from 1 species
AACGAACGCUGGCGGCGCGCCUAAUACAUGCAAGUCGAGCGAGAAGGUGUAGCAAUACACUUGUAAAGCGGCGAACGGGUGAGGAAUACAUGGGUAACCUACCCUCGAGUGGGGAAUAACUAGCCGAAAGGUUAGCUAAUACCGCAUACGAUUCCAGGACUUCGGUCCUGGAAGGAAAGCACUACCGUGGGUAGUGCGCUCCUGGAUGGGCUCAUGUCCUAUCAGCUUGUUGGGAGGUAAAGGCUCACCAAGGCUUCGACGGGUAGCUGGUCUGAGAGGACGAUCAGCCACACUGGCACUGCGACACGGGCCAGACUCCUACGGGAGGCAGCAGUAAGGAAUAUUGCGCAAUGGGGCGAAAGCCUGACGCAGCGACGCCGCGGUGGGGGA